rnacentral:sRNA from 1 species
UUAGAGUAAGACUAGAUGUCAUGUGUAUGAGUGCGUAUAACAACUAGAAUCGCAACCAGAUCUCAAAAGCCUAAGUAUUGUAUCCUUCUUAGAGGAUACAAAGACAAAGACUCAUACGAACUUUGACUACACAAUCAAAGCUUUGAUAAGCAAGAAGAAGCUUUGUUAGUGUUUUGGAGUCAAAUAUUACUAGAUGUCAUGUGUAAGAGUGAGUAUGACAACUAGUACAACAACUGAA